CCAAAUCCAUCACAAAACCUAAUCCAACUCUCUCUCUUCUCUCUGGGCGGAAAUCACCGCCAUCCGCCACCGCCGCCUCGCGGUCGCCGCUCGUCCUCGGCUGUCCGACGAGCAGGGCUGCCGCCUGCUGCGUCGCUUGGCGCCACUCCGGCCAUCUCCUCUUUUCCCCUCUUCUUCUUUCCUUCUCGGCGGAAAUCGACUCCAUUCGCCCCGCCUCGCGGUCGCCGGAGCACAGCCGUCGGCUCUGCUUGCUGUUGCCCUCCUCCGUCGGCGCAUCUGAAAAUCGGCUUCUCACUCUCGAAUUCCCCUCUCUGUUGAAGCCACGGAGAAGUUCUCGGCUCGCGCCGCGUCGCCGCUUACGGCGCGACACCUAUCUCUGCCCCCUUUCGGUUCGAGGCCUAAGUCGCCGCUUCCUCAGGCUGCUGCUCUAGCAGCGCCGCCGUUACGGUCAGCUCACCGGCUCCGUCAUUCGGCCCUAGCUGGACAGCCCCGUUUGGUCCCACUCUCGAUUCCGAAGCUAAGCUCCACUACUCCCUUUCAUUUCUUAAUAUAAUUGCUUGAAGCUUGGGCAGUAGCCAUGUGAUGUUAGAGCUCUUGAUUUAGGUGUUUUAUAGUUGAUUUUGGAGGGAGCAUUAGCUCCCUGGAAUGAGCUUGAUCUUGUUUAUCUUGAUAUGUUAAGUGUUGCUUCUAUGAUUCCAAGAGUUGAAGUUUUACUAGCCUGAAAUUACCCUAUGUGUUUGGCUAAGAAAGUCGAUCUCUUGAUUAUUGGAGCUUGCUACUUGUGUGAGGCUGAACUAAAUGUAGUUACACUUGUGUCACUAAGUUCUUGCACUAUGUUGUGAUUGUUCUAGACAUGAUGCAAGAUAAUGUGUUGAGGUGUGGGGGGGUUUACCUCUCGGUCUCACGGCUACUUCGAGAACUCUGCCUCUGGCCUCAGUUCUUCUCCCUCUCACACUUGCUACUGCUUGCUCUUGGUUUUCCUUAGAGUUUUUGCUGAAUUUUGUGAUGUGUUAAAGGGAGUUGAAUGUGGUGUGGAGGGGAUUUUAUAGGCUGAUUGUGGUGUACUCGUGAGGAAUUAAUUUUGGCUGUUAUACUACCUUGUUCCCUUCUUGCAGAGGAUCCCCCUUUUGACUAUGAUUCUGCAGCAAGUUAUACUUGAGAAUUGGCUCUAUUUGAGUACCUAGUACUCAGCCAUUAACUCUCACUGUUUGCUUGUGGCUGGACUUGUUUGCUUGUGGCUGGACUUGGUUGCUUGUAGCUGGACUUAUCCCUUUUUGGGCAAGUGUUUGGUCUCUCACUAAAGAGAUGUUGGGAGGGGGCUUGGGCUGCCAAGCUGCUGUUCGAGACGGCUUGAUGCCUCGGCCCAACGGCUGAUCGGAUGGGGCCACGACUUCCAGCCCGGAAGGAGAGACCGAUUCCAUUUGAUUAAAUGCACAUUUUAUCCUUCCCUUUUCUUGUUUCCUUUAUUUGAGGACUUGAUCCAUGUAACAUAUAUAUAUUUUUUUGUUGUUCAUUAGUUAAGCUUGUUCUAUGUAUUGAAGUAUUUGAAAGUUAGUUGUUCUUUUAUUGUAAAAGAAAUGCUACUCGAAAUUUUCUUAAUGUUCUAUAAUGUAAAUUCCAAUUGUUUA